rnacentral:rRNA from 1 species
CUACGGGUUGCUGCAGUGGGGAAUUUUGGACAAUGGGCGAAAGCCUGAUCCAGCCAUGCCGCGUGAGUGAAGAAGGCCUUCGGGUUGUAAAGCUCUUUCAGGUGAGAAGAAAUGUCGCUGUUUAAUAGAUGGCGUCGAUGACGGUAUCACCAGAAGAAGCACCGGCUAACUACGUGCCAGCAGCCGCGGUAAUACGUAGGGUGCGAGCGUUAAUCGGAAUUACUGGGCGUAAAGCGUGCGCAGGCGGUUGUGUAAGACAGGUGUGAAAUCCCCGGGCUUAACCUGGGAACUGCGCUUGUGACUGCACGGCUAGAGUACGGCAGAGGGGGGUGGAAUUCCACGUGUAGCAGUGAAAUGCGUAGAGAUGUGGAGGAACACCGAUGGCGAAGGCAGCCCCCUGGGCCUGUACUGACGCUCAUGCACGAAAGCGUGGGGAGCAAACAGGAUUAGAUACCCUAGUAGUC